CUGGACCAAUGGUGAACACUGGUGCACUCAGCGUGAUUUUGUUUUGAUUUUAAUUCCUUGAAUUUACUUGUGGGAACAACAUUACCGCUAAAUCGGUUUCUUUCCCCCAUAACUCUUCCAAUAUUGAUUGACAUGAACCCCUGAUGAAGUCCUUUGGGACGAAACGCGUCGGGUAUGGUUUUUCUGUGAGAACAUCAGACAUCCUGUAUAUAAUACUAUUGGAUGGAAUACACUGAUUAUAUCAUGUCUUCAACAAAAUUGGAAUCUGUAUUUUAAAUAUG